rnacentral:pre_miRNA from 1 species
CUGAUACUCCCUCCGUCCUAAAAUAAGUGACUCAACUUUGUACUAACUUUAGUACAACUUUGUACUAACUUUAGUACAAAGUACUAACUUUAGUACAAAGUUGAGUCACUUAUUUUGGGAUGAAGGGAGUACAAU